AACGUAGGACACGAGCGUUAUCCGGAGUUACUGGGCGUAAAGCGCGUGUAGGCGGUCCGGUAAGUCCGCUGUGAAAGUCGGGGGCUCAACCCUCGGAUGCCGGUGGAUACUGUCGGGCUUGAGUACGGAAGAGGCGAGUGGAAUUCCUGGUGUAGCGGUGAAAUGCGCAGAUAUCAGGAGGAACACCAAUUGCGAAGGCAGCUCGCUGGGUCGUUACUGACGCUGAGACGCGAAAGCGUGGGGAGCAAACAGG
rnacentral:rRNA from 1 species